AGAGUUUGAUCCUGGCUCAGGACGAACGCUGGCGGCGUGCCUAACACAUGCAAGUCGAGCGGAGACAGUGAGUAGCUUGCUAUGAGCUGUUUUAGCGGCGGACGGGUGAGUAACGCGUGAGCAACCUUUCCCAGACAGGGGAAUAACACACCGAAAGGUGUACUAUUACCGCAUAAGACCACGGGAUCACAUGGUUCUGGGGUAAAAGAUUUAUCGGUUUGGGGUGGGCUCGCGUCCGAUUAGGUAGUUGGUGAGGUAACGGCCCACCAAGCCGACGAUCGGUAGCCGACCUGAGAGGGUGAUCGGCCACAUUGGGACUGAGACACGGCCCAAACUCCUACGGGAGGCAGCAGUGGGAAUAUUGGGCAAUGGAGGAAACUCUGACCCAGCAACGCCGCGUGGAGGAAGAAGGUUUUCGGAUCGUAAACUCCUGUCCUUGGAGACGAGUAGAAGACGGUAUCCAAGGAGGAAGCCCCGGCUAACUACGUGCCAGCAGCCGCGGUAAUACGUAGGGGGCAAGCGUUGUCCGGAAUAAUUGGGCGUAAAGGGCGCGUAGGCGGCUCGGUAAGUCUGGAGUGAAAGUCCUGCUUUUAAGGUGGGAAUUGCUUUGGAUACUGUCGGGCUUGAGUGCAGGAGAGGUUAGUGGAAUUCCCAGUGUAGCGGUGAAAUGCGUAGAGAUUGGGAGGAACACCAGUGGCGAAGGCGACUAACUGGACUGUAACUGAUGCUGAGGCGCGAAAGUGUGGGGAGCAAACAGGAUUAGAUACCCUGGUAGUCCACACUGUAAACGAUGAAUGCUAGGUGUAGGGGGUAUCGACCCCUUCUGUGCCGCAGUCAACACAAUAAGCAUUCCGCCUGGGGAGUACGGCCGCAAGGUUGAAACUCAAAGGAAUUGACGGGGGCCCGCACAAGCAGCGGAGCAUGUGGUUUAAUUCGACGCAACGCGAAGAACCUUACCAGGUCUUGACAUCCACUUAAACUUACAGAGAUGUAAGGUGUGCUUGCACAAAGUGAGACAGGUGGUGCAUGGUUGUCGUCAGCUCGUGUCGUGAGAUGUGGGGUUAAGUCCCGCAACGAGCGCAACCCUUAUCUUCAGUUACUAACGCGUGAGGGUGAGGACUCUGAAGAGACUGCCGGGGACAACUCGGAGGAAGGUGGGGGCGACGUCAAAUCAUCAUGCCCCUUAUGACCUGGGCUACACACGUGCUACAAUGGCCACGACAGAGAGAAGCGAAAUCGCAAGGUAGAGCGGAACUCAAAAAAGUGGUCCCAGUUCGGAUUGUGGGCUGCAACCCGCCCACAUGAAGUCGGAGUUGCUAGUAAUCGCGGAUCAGCAUGCCGCGGUGAAUACGUUCCCGGGCCUUGUACACACCGCCCGUCACACCAUGGGAGUUGGGAGUGCCCAAAGCCGGUGAGGCAACCGCAAGGAGCCAGCCGUCUAAGGCAAGACCAAUAACUGGGGUGAAGUCGGAACAAGGUA
rnacentral:rRNA from 1 species